rnacentral:rRNA from 1 species
GCAGCCGCGGUAAUACGUAGGGUGCGAGCGUUAAUCGGAAUUACUGGGCGUAAAGCGUGCGCAGGCGGCUUUGCAAGACAGAGGUGAAAUCCCCGGGCUCAACCUGGGAACUGCCUUUGUGACUGCAAGGCUAGAGUACGGCAGAGGGGGAUGGAAUUCCGCGUGUAGCAGUGAAAUGCGUAGAUAUGCGGAGGAACACCAAUGGCGAAGGCAAUCCCCUGGGCCUGUACUGACGCUCAUGCACGAAAGCGUGGGGAGCAAACAGGAUUAAAUACCCUGGUGGUCCACGCCCUAAACGAUGUCAACUGGUUGUUGGACGGCUUGCUGUUCAGUAACGAAGCUAACGCGUGAAGUUGACCGCCUGGGGAGUACGGCCGCAAGGUUGAGACUCAAAGGAAUUGACGGGGACCCGCACAAGCGGUGGAUGAUGUGGUUUAAUUCGAUGCAACGCGAAAAACCUUACCUACCCUUGACAUGUCAAGAAUCUUGCAGAGAUGUGAGGGUGCUCGAAAGAGAACUUGAACACAGGUGCUGCAUGGCCGUCGUCAGCUCGUGUCGUGAGAUGUUGGGUUAAGUCCCGCAACGAGCGCAACCCUUGUCAUCAGUUGCUACGAAAGGGCACUCUGAUGAGACUGCCGGUGACAAACCGGAGGAAGGUGGGGAUGACGUCAGGUCCUCAUGGCCCUUAUGGGUAGGGCUACACACGUCAUACAAUGGCCGGUACAGAGGGCUGCCAACCCGCGAGGGGGAGCCAAUCCCAGAAAACCGGUCGUAGUCCGGAUCGCAGUCUGCAACUCGACUGCGUGAAGUCGGAAUCGCUAGUAAUCGCGGAUCAGCUUGCCGCGG